rnacentral:rRNA from 1 species
CCUGCGGAGGGAUCAUUAUUAGAAGCCGAAAGGCUACUUAAAACCAUCGCGAACUCGUCCAAGUUGCUUCGGCGGCGCGGCCCCCCUCACGGGGGCGCCGCAGCCCCGCCUCUCCGGAGGUGUGGGGCGCCCGCCGGAGGUACGAAACUCUGUAUUAUAGUGGCAUCUCUGAGUAAAAAACAAAUAAGUUAAAACUUUCAACAACGGAUCUCUUGGUUCUGGCAUCGAUGAAGAACGCAGCGAAAUGCGAUAAGUAAUGUGAAUUGCAGAAUUCAGUGAAUCAUCGAAUCUUUGAACGCACAUUGCGCCCGCUAGUACUCUAGCGGGCAUGCCUGUUCGAGCGUCAUUUCAACCCUCAAGCCCUGCUUGGUGUUGGGGCCCUACGGCUGCCGUAGGCCCUGAAAGGAAGUGGCGGGCUCGCUACAACUCCGAGCGUAGUAAUUCAUUAUCUCGCUAGGGACGUUGCGGCGCGCUCCUGCCGUUAAAGACCAUCUUUAACUCAAGGUUGACC